rnacentral:rRNA from 1 species
AGAACGAACGCUGGCGGCAGGCUUAACACAUGCAAGUCGAGCGCCCCGCAAGGGGAGCGGCAGACGGGUGAGUAACGCGUGGGAACGUACCCCUCGGUUCGGAAUAACUCAGGGAAACUUGAGCUAAUACCGGAUACGGCAUUCAAGAGAAAUCUUGGCGGCGAAAGAUUUAUCGCCGAGGGAUCGGCCCGCGUCCGAUUAGCUAGUUGGUGUGGUAAUGGCGCACCAAGGCGACGAUCGGUAGCUGGUCUGAGAGGAUGAUCAGCCACAUUGGGACUGAGACACGGCCCAAACUCCUACGGGAGGCAGCAGUGGGGAAUAUUGGACAAUGGGCGCAAGCCUGAUCCAGCCAUGCCGCGUGAGUGAUGAAGGCCUUAGGGUUGUAAAGCUCUUUCGCCCACGACGAUAAUGACGGUAGUGGGAGAGAAGCCCGGCUAACUUCGUGCCAGCAGCCGC